GCUGGCGGCGUGCCUAACACAUGCAAGUCGUACGAACGGAGGAGAGCUUGCUCUCCGAAGUUAGUGGCGGACGGGUGUGUAACACGUGAGCAACCUACCCUUUGGCGGGGGAUAGCCGGCCUAACGGCCGGGUAAUACCGCGUACCGCGUCGUGAUCGCAUGGUCGUGACGUGAAAGCGGCCGCAAGGUCGCACCAGAGGAGGGGCUCGCGUCCUAUCAGCUUGUUGGUGGGGUAACGGCUCACCAAGGCUACGACGGGUAGCUGGUCUGAGAGGAUGGCCAGCCACAUUGGGACUGAGAUACGGCCCAGACUCCUACGGGAGGCAGCAGUGGGGAAUAUUGCGCAAUGGCCGCAAGGCUGACGCAGCGACGCCGCGUGUGGGAUGAAGGCCCUCGGGUUGUAAACCACUGUCAGGGGGGACGAAUACCCGGCCCAGCAACGGGACCGGGGGUGACGGU
rnacentral:rRNA from 1 species